GAUGAACGCUAGCUACAGGCUUAACACAUGCAAGUCGCGGGGCAGCAUGGGGGUUGCUUGCAUUCCCCGAUGGCGACCGGCGCACGGGUGAGUAACGCGUAUCCAACCUGCCCUUCACCACGGGCUAACCCGGCGAAAGUCGGACUAAUACCGUAUGUUGUCCAUUGACGGCAUCCGAUUUGGACGCAGGGUUUGGCGGUGAUGGAUGGGGAUGCGUCCGAUUAGCUGGACGGCGGGGUGACGGCGCACCGUGGCGGCGCUCGGUAGGGGUUCUGAGAGGGAGGCCCCCCACAAUGGAACCGAGACACGGACCAGACUCCUACGGGAGGCAGCAGUGAGGAAUAUUGGUGACGGGGGGUAAGCCUGACCCAGCCAAGUAGGGUGCAGGAGGACGGCCCUAUGGGUUGUAAACUGCUUUUAGGCGAGGAUAAAGUGGCCCACGUGUGGGUUUUUGCAGGUACCGCAUGAAUAAGGACCGGCUAAUUCCGUG
rnacentral:rRNA from 1 species